rnacentral:rRNA from 1 species
UACGAAGGGGGCUAGCGUUGCUCGGGAUCACUGGGCGUAAAGCGCACGUAGGCGGGUUGUUAAGUCGGGGGUGAAAUCCUGGAGCUCAACUCCAGAACUGCCUUCGAUACUGGCGACCUUGAGUCCGGGAGAGGUGAGUGGAACUCCGAGUGUAGAGGUGAAAUUCGUAGAUAUUCGGAAGAACACCAGUGGCGAAGGCGGCUCACUGGCCCGGUACUGACGCUGAGGUGCGAAAGCGUGGGGAGCAAACAGG